GCGACUCGGCGCGCAUCAAAUUUCCGCCCGCCUCGCAGGUAAUAAUCGCGCGCGAUCUUCGGAAUUCCUCGCGAUUUGCACCUUGCACCACGCCGUCCCGAUGCCCGCCGUCCGGCGCGCACGUAUCCACGCCGCGCUCGGCUGAAAGUCAUCGCGUCCGCGCGCGCCAUUCGCGUUCAUUUCGCGUUUGACAGUAUCACCACUGGCCUUUGCUGGUCCGCUCAGUGCGAUGUGUCCGAUGCGUUCAGCGUAAUUUCGUAAAUUAAUUGUUUUCGCGCGCGCGUGUGUCUUCCGUACGGAUGUCCGUCGCAGUGUUCGGUGUCGUCCGAGUGUCGUCCAGUUUUCGGUGUGUGAGAGUGUUAUUUAAGCAUACUUGCUGUCUGUCACAAGAAAACAUCAACAAGAAGGGUGAGAAACUGCGCAUGUGGAAGCUAUAAAGACGUCAGAGACAUUAAACAGUGCUUAAGUCGGUUAUGAAGAAGUGAUUUUCGGUGCAGUUUACAGCAGUGAGCCAACAGAUACUGAGAUUGUUUCAACACAUCAUGAUAUCACCGAUAUUCUACAGAU